GUAAUUAUUAAAAUAAUUCAGACGCUGAUUGAAAAUUAAAAAGGUUAUUGAAUUGUCCAAUCGGCAGGCAAGCCCACCGAGGAAACACAAGUGCGCAAAAAGUCAAGGGUUAAGAAAGAAAGUGUACUCCUGCAUGGCUAUAGCUAUGCAGUUUCCACCCCCCUCAGACAGUAGCAAGCUACUGAUAUUUAAUGAUCCUUCCGCAGGUUCACCUACGGAAA
rnacentral:misc_RNA from 1 species